rnacentral:rRNA from 1 species
UAAUACGAAUGGAGCAAGCGUUGUUCGGAAUCACUGGGCUUAAAGCGUGCGUAGGCGGCUUUGCAAGUCAGAAGUGAAAGCCUGGGGCUCAACCCCAGAACUGCUUUUGAAACUGCAAAACUAGAAUAUCGGAGAGGUUGGGAGAAUUCCUAGUGUAGAGGUGAAAUUCGCAGAUAUUAGGAGGAAUACCAGUGGCGUAGGCGCCCAACUGGACGAUUAUUGACGCUGAGGCACGAAAGCGUGGGGAGCAAACAGG